UUGAGUCAGUUGACUGGGAAAGGCAGACCCACCCUCAAUCUGGGUGGGCACCAGCCAGCCAGGCUAGGAUAAAAGCACACAGAAAAACAUGAAAAGCCUGGACUGGUUUAACCUCCCAGCCACCAUCUUUCUCCUGCGCUGGAUGCUUCCUGCCCUCGAACAUCAGACUCUGAGUUCAUAGCUGUGACUCUUGGACCUUGGACCACAGACUGAAGUCUGCGCUGUCAGCUUCCCUACUUUUGAGGGUUUGGGACUCGGACUGGUUUUAUUGCUCCUUAGCUUGCAGACAGCCUAUUGUGGGACCUCAUCUUGUCAUCAUAGACAGUGUCUAGCACUGUUGCCCAGGCUGGAAUGCAGUGGCACCAUCAUAGCUCACCACAGCCUCAGAACUCCUGGACUGAAGCAAUCCUCCGGCCACAGUCUCCUCAGAAGCUUCACGCACUUGCAUCAUCUUCCAACACUAACCUCGCCCUGAUGUCCACGCCCAGCCCUGGAACUCCUCCGGCAUUCCCCUUCCACCGUGGCAUUCCCUGCUGGGAUAUCCCAGGGGAAUUUUGCAGCAGAUAUGGAGAUGGACAUGAAGCAAUUAUCAUGCAAAAGUGGGCAGCCAGAAUGCGGAUGAAAACCACAUGCCGAGGACAAAAGGGCAGGAUGAUAGAAGGAGCUGGGGACCCUGGUGACAUCAGACAGCCGCUGCUCCAGUCCCGGAACGCCGACCUCCAGAUGACUUGUUUUACGAGACCAGUACCUAUGUGGUCAAAUCACUCUCGUGAAGUUUUGUGCCACAGAGAUGAACCCAAUCAUUACCUGUUGGAGCCUAUCCUGCCAUACCUCAUGCUUUAAUUAAUAUAUAAAGAGACUUGUAUAAACUUGGCAUCAUACUCCUUUGAACAGAUUUAGAGUAUGGGGACCUGAAUUGUGUGGGCUUUGGUGAGAGAGGCAUGGUCCAGCUGCCAGGGUCCACUCUGGCCCUGCUGCUGGGUGGCCUUUGCUGCUGACUCUGUGAUUAUGCCUGAUUGAUUUGAUUAACUUGGACUGGCACCAGGGUUUCCAUCCAAGGAACACUGACCUUGGUACUUCCCUCCAAAGUUUUGCUGAGUUGAUCUCCAUUCUAGUUUCCUCAAGGGAUACUUACUGAUGAGCAAUGGCAUAACAGACUCUCAGCUAGCUCAUAGUUGUUAUUGUGGAUAUCAUACUUUUUACCUUCAGAUUUUGAGCAGCUACCUUAACAUGAGUGCAUGUUAAAAUUAGUUUAUUGGCCGGGGGCGGUGGCUCACGCCUGUAAUGCCAGCACUUUGGGAGGCCGAGGCGGGUGGAUCAUGAGGUCAAGAGAUCGAGACCAUCCUGGUCAACAUGGUGAAACCCCGUCUCUACUAAAAAUACAAAAAAUUAUCUGGGCAUGGUGGCGCGUGCCUGUAGUCCCAGCUACUCAGGAAGCUGAGGCAGGAGCAUUGCCUAAGCCCAGGAGGUGGAGUUACAGUGAGCCAAGAUCGCACCAUUGCACUCUAGCCUGGGUAACAAGAGCGAAACUCCAUCUCAAAAAAAAAAUUAGUUUAUUGGCCUCCUGGCGGGGCAGCUGACAAUGUUAAAACAGUUAUCUAAAUGAAAUCUGUCUGUUUUUCCUACAGAUUCUCCAUCAAAGAACAGGCAUGCAAAAGUGGUCUCAGCUCCUGAAGGCAGUCAGGACAGAGUAAUUGCUGUGAUAAAUGAGCAACUUCAUGUCACAAUGCUUAGCUAAAUGACAGGUUUAGUCUUUGCUCAUGUCACAGUCCAACUGGGUACCCAGGAGUGAUCUCUCAUAUGGCCAACCAAAGGGCUUCCCCUUCAUGGUUCCAUGAUUUCAGGAGCACCUGGGAGCCUCCAUAGGAUCCUCUGCACCUGUCAGAAAAAUGAUGAGGGAAGUCAGAAUGUGGAAUGUUCUAGAUAAGGCUUGAGAAGUGUUUUAUAGCACUUCUGCCUGUACUUCAUUGACUAAAAUGCCCCACUGAGUGAUACCGUGGGCUGGGGAAUGAAGCCCACCUGUGAGCUUAGGAGGAAAAUAAAAGUUGGCAAAUGUAACAUUGUCUGUGUGCCACAUUCUCAAAACACACUUUGAAAUAUUUGUCUCUAUGUCUUUGCUUACAUUAUUUUCUCAGCACGGACUGUCUUUAGCCUUGAUUUCCACUAACCAACUGAACGGGCCACUUUCAUCAGAGUCUUCUUAAUAAUGUAGUGACCCCAACAGCUACAGGGAAACCACAGCUCCUGUCCUAAAG
ensembl:lncRNA